UUGAAACAUUGUAAAGGAAAGUUGAGCUGGUCCUUCUAGGGCAUGUGCUCGCUUUUCUUUCAAUCUUCAUCCACCUGUGCACCUUUUGUAGAGAGUCUCUAGAAAGCAAGGUCAUUUUGGCCUUGCAAGUAUUGGGGCGCUCUAUGUAUUAUAAACUCUGAAUGUAUGUCUUUGAAUGUCUUUUACAAAGGGACUUAACUGGCCCUUUUAAAAACUAUA
rnacentral:misc_RNA from 1 species